rnacentral:rRNA from 1 species
CCUACGGGUGGCAGCAGUGGGGAAUAUUGGACAAUGGGGGGAACCCUGAUCCAGCGACGCCGCGUGAGUGAAGAAGUAUUUCGGUAUGUAAAGCUCUAUCAGCAGGGAAGAAAGAAAUGACGGUACCUGACUAAGAAGCCCCGGAUAACUACGUGCCAGCAGCCGCGGUAAUACGUAGGGGGCAAGCGUUAUCCGGAUUUACUGGGUGUAAAGGGAGCGUAGACGGCGAUGCAAGUCUGAAGUGAAAGGCGGGGGCUCAACCCCCGGACUGCUUUGGAAACUGUAUGGCUGGAGUGCAGGAGAGGUAAGUGGAAUUCCUGGUGUAGCGGUGAAAUGCGUAGAUAUUAGGAGGAACACCAGUGGCGAAGGCGGCUUACUGGACUGUAACUGACGUUGAGGCUCGAAAGCGUGGGGAGCAAACAGGAUUAGAUACCCCUGUAGUC